AUGACCUUCUAUUUGAGAUAUCAGAGCUUCAGCAAAUUUUCAGAACACUGCAAUGAAAGUCAAGAUUCUACAAACUUCCAAAGGGAAAAUAAAACCCAAACUCGAAUUGCCACAUACAAAGAACCAAAAUGACUUUAGACUUUCCUACAGCACUGGAAGGUAAAAUUUAAUAGAGAAAAGCCCACAGACUUCUAGCAGGAAAUAAUUUCCGACAGGUGUGGAAUUUAAUAUACUGUGAAACCCUUGAUCAAAAGAGAAAGAAUAAAAAUAUUUUCUGACUGGUACAUAGGACUUUAAAUAUUUUAACCAUUAACCUUAUUUCAGGAAAAUACUAAACAAUGUGUUUCAGUGUAUUUGGACUUGUAUAAACAGGAUGUGACUUAACUCUGACAUACUUUUAUUUCCAAAAACUGUGACUUUGCCGUAGGUUGUAUCUAGCAGAGUUUGUUGGAAAAAUUCUGAUGCACAAUUGGAACAUUUUGGCAGUAACAGCCAACAUGCAAAGUCCUCUGAGUGAAAUGACAAAGGUCACUUUACCAUCUGGAUUCUCUAAUAAGUAGCUACUGUUCUAAAGAAAAAUGUGUGUAAGAAAUUAAGUUUGAAAAAA
rnacentral:lncRNA from 1 species